rnacentral:rRNA from 1 species
CAGUCACGUUGGCUAGGAAUCAGCCUCGCUUUUGCGUGGUGUACUUUCUAGUUGACGGGUCAGCAUCAAUUUUGACCGCUCGGAAAAUGGUUGGAGGAAUGUAGCUUCGAUCUCGUAUUGAAGUGUUAUAGCCUUCGGCAGAUGUGAUGAUCGAGAUUGAGGAUUGCAACGGAUACCUUCGGGGCUACCUGUCCUGAUCUCUGAUCGUUGCUCUGGUACCG